rnacentral:rRNA from 1 species
GACGAACGCUGGCGGCGUGCUUAACACAUGCAAGUCGAACGGAAAGGCCCUGCUUGCAGGGUACUCGAGUGGCGAACGGGUGAGUACACGUGGGUGAUCUGCCCUGCACUUCGGGAUAAGCCUGGGAAACUGGGUCUAAUACCGGAUAGGAGCCAUUUUUAGUGUGAUGGUUGGAAAGUUUUUUCGGUGUAGGAUGAGCUCGCGGCCUAUCAGCUUGUUGGUGGGGUAAUGGCCUACCAAGGCGGCGACGGGUAGCCGGCCUGAGAGGGUGGACGGCCACAUUGGGGAUGAGAUACGGCCCAGACUCCUACGGGGGGGAGCAGUGGGGAAUAUUGCACAAUGGGCGCAAGCCUGAUGCAGCGACGCCGCGUGGGGGAUGACGGCCUUCGGGUUGUAAACUCCUUUCGCUAGGGACGGAGCUGUUUGUGACGGUACCUAGAUAAGAAGCACCGGCUAACUACGUG